GCAUAAACAUAACAUUGACAAAAACAAUGAAGACCUAAAUAGUGAAACCAAUGUGAAACACAUUUCAAAACUGAAACACAAUGAAGUUAAGGCAAUGCAAAAUAGAAUGUAUUCAUAAAGAGCCCUAAAAAAUAUAUAUUUUAUAAUUCAAAAGCACAACUGAUAUGUGGAGUUACUCAAAUAUUUUGUCACAACUGAUAUGCAGAGUUAUAAGGCUUCAUCAUUGUUCUCUUUG
rnacentral:misc_RNA from 1 species